GCCUUCUGUAGCCAGCUUGGCCGCGGCCACUUCGACGCUGACGUCAUCGCCUGCCUUGCUGUCCCCGGCUGUCAUGGCUGUGCCGAUCACAGCUGCCGUCGCACUCCACCGGUGUCAUUCAGCAUCCUGCGGUCAACGCGCUGGUAUGUGGGGAGCGGAGCCACGAUAUCUCGUGCUACGGUCGCGGCGGCAGAUACCAUUAUCUCGUCGAUUGCAAGGAGUGUCAACGGUGGGGCGCGGGUCGUACGAGUGGCGACAGCGGUUUGCCCUCGAUUGCACUGAUCCCACCCGAAGGCUUUCCGCCCCCAACGUGGCCUCACAAUGCCUCCAGGAUGCACCUAACGUAGCCUUGCAGUACCUCCGCG
rnacentral:lncRNA from 1 species